GAUGAACGCUAGCGGGAGGCCUAACACAUGCAAGCCGAGCGGUAGAGUUUCUUCGGAAACUUGAGAGCGGCGCACGGGUGCGUAACACGUGUGCAACCUACCUUUAUCUUGGGGAUAGCCUUUCGAAAGGAAGAUUAAUACCCCAUAAUAUAAUGAUUGGCAUCAAUUAUUAUUGAAAACUCCGGUGGAUAGAGAUGGGCACGCGCAAGAUUAGAUAGUUGGUGAGGUAACGGCUCACCAAGUCAAUGAUCUUUAGGGGUCCUGAGAGGGAGAUCCCCCACACUGGUACUGAGACACGGACCAGACUCCUACGGGAGGCAGCAGUGAGGAAUAUUGGACAAUGGGUGAGAGCCUGAUCCAGCCAUCCCGCGUGAAGGAUGACGGUCCUAUGGAUUGUAAACUUCUUUUGUACAGGGAUAAACCUACCCUCGUGAGGGUAGCUGAAGGUACUGUACGAAUAAGCACCGGCUAACUCCGU
rnacentral:rRNA from 1 species